GACUGAGAAUGACAUACUGAAAACGUGUAUUGGAAGCAGUACUCAAUAUUCAAGAAAUAUGGUAAAGGUGACAAAGUCCCUGUUAAGGACCAGAGUGAGAAAAGGAACAAAUUUACAGAUAUAUCCAAAUAUUUUAUAUAUAUCCAAAUAUAUAUAAAAUUGUAAUGUAUCCAAAUAUGUUACAAAUAUAUCCAAAAACACCUAUUUGAGAUAAUAUAAUAUGAGUAUAUACUCCCCUUUGAGGGAAGGGGAAUAUAUAUAUUGCAGGGAUUUGACCUUAUGAAAUGUGAACACUGGUUAAAGAGUCUUUAUAAGGCUAUGGUGUUUACGUCGAGUGUUGGAGUCAGGAGGUUUGGAAUGAAAGACGGAAGUAAAGAGGGGGUGAUCAAGACAAGCCAGAACCCAUAAACACAAGCCGGAGCCUGUGAGGACAGACCAAAACUCGUUUUAGUUCCUGUUGCCUCUAAUCUUGAUUUUACGUUGUUUCCUACAUAAACUAGAGCCUUAUAUCAUGAUUAGCAAACACCCCUGGUCUGGGGGUCAGUGAAUCUUCGUGGGGAUCUGCAGAAGGUGCAGCUGUUGGAAACUCCCCGGCUGCUUCACAGUCGUGAGGUGAGCUAGCAGGCUGAUCUCCCUAUUCUCUGUAGCACAUGCUGUUCCAUCCUUAUAAUUAUUACCAAUUUAGAGGAUUGAUGGAAAGAACAGAAGGGGAAAGGAACAGUCCCAAGGAGUGUAAAAGGAGUAUAAAAGUAUCAUUUGUGUAUUAUUGUUGGAAACUUGUCACCGCAUCUAUGAAGCUGAGGAGUGUAACCGGCAUUGCAACAGAGUGUUGGGGUCCCAGAGGAGGAAUGAGAAGGACCGACAUACUCUACUUAGCUGCUGCUGUGGUAUUCUGCAUCGGGUGGCCAAUCCUGGCUGAAGAGGGGAUAUCUGGAUGCUGCUGACAUGCAAUGCAAGGCUGGGCUCUUCAAGAGGCCCUGCCGGGGCUUUAGUUGCACAGGCCUCUGACAUUUGGUCUCACAGUUUCCCAUCUGUUUUGGAAUCCCUUAAUGGUCUCCCCCAGUUUCGUUUUAUUAGGUUAGUCAGAGUUGACUCUUACUGCUUGAGGACAAGAACCUUGACUGACACAGCAGGCAUUCAUAUUGCAGACAAAAGGAGACCACACCACAGGACAUGCUGGGUUAAAGAAAAAAUACUCAUAUCAUUGCCACAGUCACUUGUGAUCAUCUUCUGUAACUUUGCCUUUGUACACAGUGAUGAGAGUCCUCAAUGCCCAGAUGGCAUUGAUUUAUUCCAACCUGGAAUGGAUGUGUUUAUUGGGCCAAACGUGAGAAUUUAAAAAGUAAUGUCAGAAAGGUAUCCCUGUCUUUACUUCUAUCAUUUUCUGAUCUUGGUAUAUGAAAGACGAGCUGGUUUCCUGUUGAACUGCUCCCAAGCAUGAUCCCAUUCCACAGGAAGUCUACUUUUACAAGAAUAUCCCAAAUAUAUCUGUUUUUCUUUCAGGAGCUUCUGCAAACAUAGUAUUACACCAGGAAGUGUGCCAGCAGUGCUUUUAAAAACAGUCCGGAUACACCCAAGAGUCUUAAAAGUAAUUUCACAUUUAAAUAAAAUUGAAUAGAAUUUUGCUACUCAA